CUUCAUCAUGAUCCUAGGAAUUGGCUUAUACUUUAAGACCAAUACUUUGUUUGAAUUUUUUUUUUUUAAGUCUGACUUGCUGCUGACCAUUGUCCUCUUAGUAAUCAUGUUAGAUGGAAUUUAGCUUUCAUCUUUGUCUAAUUUCAUCAUUGUUGAUUGUCCCAUGGAGUCGACAGGUAAUUUUGAGAGACAUCUACGGAGACAUCUGGUAAGGUAACACUUGUAUUUGUCUCC
rnacentral:lncRNA from 1 species